GAUGAACGCUAGCGGCAGGCUUAAUACAUGCAAGUCGAGGGGCAGCACAGGUAGCAAUACUGGGUGGUAACCGGCAAACGGGUGCGGAACACGUACACAACCUUCCUUUAAGUGGGGGAUAGCCCAGAGAAAUUUGGAUUAAUACCCCGUAAUAUAGUUGAAUGGCAUCAUUUGAUCAUUAUAGCUACGGCGCUUAAUGAUGGGUGUGCGGCUGAUUAGAUAGUUGGCGGGGUAACGGCCCACCAAGUCUACGAUCAGUAGCUGAUGUGAGAGCAUGAUCAGCCACACGGGCACUGGGACACGGGCCCGACUCCUACGGGAGGCAGCAGUAAGGAAUAUUGGUCAAUGGACGCAAGUCUGAACCAGCCAUGCCGCGUGAAGGAUUAAGGUCCUCUGGAUUGUAAACUUCUUUUAUUUGGGACGAAAAAGGGCCUUUCUAGGUCAACUGACGGUACCAGAUGAAUAAGCACCGGCUAACUCCGUGCCAGCCGCCGCGGUAACAC
rnacentral:rRNA from 1 species